rnacentral:rRNA from 1 species
AUUGAACGCUGGCGGCAGGCUUAACACAUGCAAGUCGAGCGGGGAAGGGUAGCUUGCUACCUGACCUAGCGGCGGACGGGUGAGUAAUGCUUAGGAAUCUGCCUAUUAGUGGGGGACAACAUUCCGAAAGGAAUGCUAAUACCGCAUACGCCCUACGGGGGAAAGCAGGGGAUCUUCGGACCUUGCGCUAAUAGAUGAGCCUAGGUAAGAUUAGCUAGUUGGUGGGGUAAAGGCCUACCAAGGCGACGAUCUGUAGCGGGUCUGAGAGGAUGAUCCGCCACACUGGGACUGAGACACGGCCCAGACUCCUACGGGAGGCAGCAGUGGGGAAUAUUGGACAAUGGGCGCAAGCCUGAUCCAGCCAUGCCGCGUGUGUGAAGAAGGCCUUUUGGUUGUAAAGCACUUUAAGCGAGGAGGAGGCUACUUGGAUUAAUACUCUAGGAUAGUGGACGUUACUCGCAGAAUAAGCACCGGCUAACUCUGUGCCAGCCGCCGCCGUAA